rnacentral:rRNA from 1 species
AGCAGCCGCGGUAAUUCCAGCUCCAAUAGCGUAUAUUAAAGUUGCUGCAGUUAAGAAGCUCGUAGUUGAAUUUCGGGGUCAAUAUGUUGGUCGUGCCUUGGUACGUACUAGCUUAUUGAUUUCUCCUUUCUGACGAACCAUGAUGUCAUUAAUUUGGUGUCAUGGGGAAUCAGGACUGUUACUUUGAAAAAAUUAGAGUGUUUAAAGCAGGCUCGCGCUUGAAUACAUUAGCAUGGAAUAAUGAAAUAGGACAUUUGAUUCUAUUUUGUUGGUUUCUAGGAUCGAUGUAAUGAUUAAUAGGGAUAGUUGGGGGCAUUAGUAUUCAAUUGUCAGAGGUGAAAUUCUUGGAUUUAUUGAAGACUAACUACUGCGAAAGCAUUUGCCAAGGAUGUUUUCAUUAAUCAAAAUCGAAAGUUAGGGGAUCGAAGACGAUCAGAUACCGUCGUAGUCUUAACCAUAAACUAUGCCGACUAGGGAUCUGAUAAUGUUAAUUUUUUAAUGACUCA